GGCCUACCUAGGCGACGAUACAUAGCCGACCUGAGAGGGUGAUCGGCCACACUGGGACUGAGACACGGCCCAGACUCCUACGGGAGGCAGCAGUAGGGAAUCUUCGGCAAUGGGGGCAACCCUGACCGAGCAACGCCGCGUGAGUGAAGAAGGUUUUCGGAUCGUAAAGCUCUGUUGUAAGAGAAGAACGUGUGUGAGAGUGGAAAGUUCACACAGUGACGGUAACUUACCAGAAAGGGACGGCUAACUAC
rnacentral:rRNA from 1 species